GAAAAACCCUCCUCUCUUCCGCAUUUUUCCGCUUCGCUUUCCCAAUACAGGUACUUCCUUCACUAUGAGCUUAACCUCUCUCAGGCUCGCAUCAAACCCCAUCACUUCCCCAAAGUGGGCCCACCGUCGGCUUCUCCCUCCUCGGAACGUCGUAGUAUGCUCCGUUAAAACUCCUCCCUCCUCGCCGUCGUUGAGUGUCGCCGAGUCUGCCACCAGCGACUCCCUAAGUCGUAUUGAAUCUCUCAGUCAAGUUUCCGGCGUUUUAGGUUGUCAGUGGGGCGAUGAAGGUAAAGGCAAACUCGUCGACAUCUUGGCUCAGCAUUUCGACGUCGUCGCUCGUUGCCAGGGUGGAGCCAAUGCUGGUCAUACCAUCUACAGUUCAGAGGGAAAGAAAUUUGCCCUUCACCUUGUUCCUUCGGGUAUUCUUAAUGAGGAUACUCUCUGCGUUAUUGGCAAUGGAGUUGUGGUGCAUCUUCCAGGUUUGUUUAAGGAGAUUGAUGGCCUGGAAUCUAAUGGUGUCUCGUGCGAGGGAAGGAUAUUGGUGUCGGACCGUGCUCAUCUGUUAUUUGAUUUCCAUCUAGAAGUAGAUGGGCGUAGAGAAGCUGAGCUUGCUAAAUCAUUUAUUGGCACUACUAGAAGAGGGAUCGGACCUUGUUACUCGAGCAAGGUGAUCCGCAAUGGCAUUAGAGUAAGUGACUUGAGGCACAUGGAUACUUUUCCUCAGAAGCUUGAUGUUUUAUUAUCAGAUGCAGCUUCAAGGUUCCAAGGUUUUAACUAUGGCCCAGAAAUGCUCAGGGAUGAAGUUGAGAGAUACAAGAGAUUUGCAGAGAGGUUGGAACCCUUCAUUGCAGAUACGGUGCAUGUUAUGAAUGAAUCCAUUGCACAGAAGAAGAAGAUUUUGGUUGAAGGUGGUCAAGCAACUAUGCUGGACAUUGACUUUGGAACUUAUCCCUUUGUGACUUCAUCUAGCCCGUCAGCUGGCGGGAUCUGCACUGGUCUUGGUAUUGCUCCAAGAGUCAUUGGUGAUCUCAUUGGAGUGGUGAAAGCAUACACUUCAAGGGUUGGUUCUGGCCCUUUCCC
rnacentral:misc_RNA from 1 species